rnacentral:rRNA from 1 species
UGAGUACGAGCUGCUACGGCAGCGAAGUGGGUGAUGUCAAGCUUCCAAGAAAAGCCCUAUACCCGUUAAGGCAUGAUGGCCUGUACCCGAAACCGACACAGGUGGGGUGGUAGAGAAUACCGAGGGGCGCGACAUAACUCUCUCUAAGGAACUCGGCAAAAUGGCCCCGUAACUUCGGGAGAAGGGGUGCCACCGCAAGGUGGUCGCAGUGAAGAGGCCCAGGCGACUGUUUACCAAAAACACAGGUCUCCGCUAAGUCGCAAGACGAUGUAUGGGGGCUGACGCCUGCCCAGUGCCGGAAGGUUAAGGAAGCUGGUCAGCGUAAGCGAAGCUAGCGACUGAAGCCCCGGUGAACGGCGGCCGUAACUAUAACGGUCCUAAGGUAGCGAAAUUCCUUGUCGGGUAAGUUCCGACCCGCACGAAAGGCGUAACGAUCUGGGCGCUGUCUCGGAGAGAGGCUCGGCGAAAUAGAAUUGUCUGUGAAGAUGCGGACUACGUGCACCCGGACAGAAAGACCCUAUGAAGCUUUACUGUAGCUUGGUAUUGUGCUCGGGCUCGGAAUGCGCAGGAUAGGUGGGAGGCUAUGAACCAUUGCUUGUGGGUGAUGGUGAGCCACUGGUGAGAUACCACUCUUUCCGAGCUAGAGUUCUAACAGCCACCCGUUAUCCGGGGGCUGGACAGUAUCAGGUGGGCAGUUUGACUGGGGCGGUCGCCUCCUAAAAGGUAACGGAGGCGCGCAAAGGUUUGCUCAGGCUGGUUGGAAAUCAGCCGACGAGUGUAAAAGCAGAAGCAAGCUUGACUGUGAGACCUACAAGUCGAACAGGGAGGAAACUCGGCUUUAGUGAUCCGACGGUUCUGCGUGGAAGGGCCGUCGCUCAACGGAUAAAAGUUACUCUAGGAUAACAGGCUGAUCUCCCCCAAGAGUUCACAUCGACGGGGAGGUUUGGCACCUCGAUGUCGGCUCAUCGCAACCUGGGGCUGAAGUCGGUCCCAAGGGUUGGGCUGUUCGCCCAUUAAAGCGGUACGCGAGCUGGGUUCAGAACGUCGUGAGACAGUUCGGUCCAUAUCCGGUGCAUGCGCAGGAAUAUUGAGAGGAUUUCUCCCUAGUACGAGAGGACCGAGAGGAACGCACCUCUGGUGUACCAGUUAUCGUGCCAACGGUAAACGCUGGGUAGCCAUGUGCGGAGAGGAUAACCGCUGAAAGCAUCUAAGUGGGAAGCCCACCUCAAGAUGAGUAUUCCCAUGGGGUAACCCAGUAAGGUCACGGGAAGAACACCCGUUGAUAGGCUCUACGUGGAAGCGCAGUAAUGUGUGAAGCGGAGGAGUACUAAUAGACCGAGGGCUUGACC